rnacentral:rRNA from 1 species
AUACGUAGGGGGCUAGCGUUAUCCGGAAUUACUGGGCGUAAAGGGUGCGUAGGUGGUUUCUUAAGUCAGGAGUGAAAGGCUACGGCUUAACCGUAGUAAGCUCUUGAAACUGGGAAACUUGAGUGCAGGAGAGGAAAGUGGAAUUCCUAGUGUAGCGGUGAAAUGCGUAGAUAUUAGGAGGAACACCAGUAGCGAAGGCGGCUUUCUGGACUGUAACUGACGCUGAGGCUCGAAAGCAUGGGUAGC